rnacentral:rRNA from 1 species
AUUGAACGCUUGCGGCAGGCUUAACACAUGCAAGUCGAGCGAGCGGCGGACGGGUGAGUAAUGUCUGGGAAACUGCCUGAUGGAGGGGGAUAACUACUGGAAACGGUAGCUAAUACAGCAUACCAUCAGAUGUGCCCAGAUGGGCUUAGCUAGUAGGUGGGGCAAUGGCUCACCUAGGCGACGAUCCCUAGCUGGCCUGAGAGGAUGACCAGCAACAAUAUAAAUGAGCCAAGGUCCAGACUCCUACGUGAGGCAGCAGUGGGGAAUAUUGGACAAUGGUGGGAAGCCUAAUGCAGCCAUGCCUCGUGUGUGAAGAAGGCCUUCGGGUUGUAAAGAACUUUCAGCGUGGAGGCGUUACUCGCAGAAGAAGCACCGGCUAGCUCCGUGUCAGCAGCCGCGGAAAUAC